GAGUUUGAUCAUGGCUCAGAUUGAACGCUGGCGGCAUGCUUUACACAUGCAAGUCGAACGGUAACAGGGAGCUUGCUCCGCUGACGAGUGGCGAACGGGUGAGUAAUGCGUCGGAACGUGCCGAGUAGUGGGGGAUGACGCAUCGAAAGGUGUGCUAAUACCGCAUACGAACUGAGGUUGAAAGUGGGGGACCUUCGGGCCUCACGCUAUUCGAGCGGCCGACGUCUGAUUAGCUAGUAGGUGAGGUAAAGGCUCACCUAGGCGACGAUCAGUAGCGGGUCUGAGAGGAUGAUCCGCCACACUGGGACUGAGACACGGCCCAGACUCCUACGGGAGGCAGCAGUGGGGAAUUUUGGACAAUGGGCGCAAGCCUGAUCCAGCCAUGCCGCGUGUCUGAAGAAGGCCUUUCGGUUGUAAAGGACUUUUGUCUGGGAGCAAAUACCCGGUGUUAAUAGCGCCGGGGGCUGAGAGUACCAGAAGAAUAAGCACCGGCUAACUACGUGCCAGCAGCCGCGGUAAUACGUA
rnacentral:rRNA from 1 species